AGAGUUUGAUCAUGGCUCAGAGCGAACGCUGGCGGCAGGCUUAACACAUGCAAGUCGAGCGGGCGUAGCAAUACGUCAGCGGCAGACGGGUGAGUAACGCGUGGGAACGUACCUUUUGGUUCGGAACAACCCAGGGAAACUUGGGCUAAUACCGGAUAAGCCCUUACGGGGAAAGAUUUAUCGCCGAAAGAUCGGCCCGCGUCUGAUUAGCUAGUUGGUGAGGUAAUGGCUCACCAAGGCGACGAUCAGUAGCUGGUCUGAGAGGAUGAUCAGCCACAUUGGGACUGAGACACGGCCCAAACUCCUACGGGAGGCAGCAGUGGGGAAUAUUGGACAAUGGGCGCAAGCCUGAUCCAGCCAUGCCGCGUGAGUGAUGAAGGCCCUAGGGUUGUAAAGCUCUUUUGUGCGGGAAGAUAAUGACGGUACCGCAAGAAUAAGCCCCGGCUAACUUCGUGCCAGCAGCCGCGGUAAUACGAAGGGGGCUAGCGUUGCUCGGAAUCACUGGGCGUAAAAGGGUGCGUAGGCGGGUCUUUAAGUCAGGGGUGAAAUCCUGGAGCUCAACUCCAGAACUGCCUUUGAUACUGAAGAUCUUGAGUUCGGGAGAGGUGAGUGGAACUGCGAGUGUAGAGGUGAAAUUCGUAGAUAUUCGCAAGAACACCAGUGGCGAAGGCGGCUCACUGGCCCGAUACUGACGCUGAGGCACGAAAGCGUGGGGAGCAAACAGGAUUAGAUACCCUAGUAGUCC
rnacentral:rRNA from 1 species